rnacentral:tRNA from 1 species
GCGAUUGUGGUCCAGUGGUAGAGUUCUCAUCUUCCACGUGGGAGGCCUGGGUUCAAUUCCUGGCCCAUGCA